AUUGCGGCCCAUCUAUACUUGCGUUUGCGUAUCAGCGUCUGUGUUCGUUAGAGCACAUCAGGUCUGGCGCUCCUUUUAACCAGAAGUGUGGCGCUGUCAGAUGCCGCCAGUCCACGCUGGGUAUUCAGUGCGGCAGUCAUCACUCUGGGAACCAACUCAUCCCUUCGAAGUGGGAGAUGUAGUGCUGUUCAAAGCACUGCGAGGAAAGAAGUCCCAGGCUGACUUUUCCUACGGUCCCCCGACCUCUGUGGUAGCAGUAACCCGCACAGCUGUACUCACCGAUGAUUCCCCUACCUGGAUCCACGCCACUAGGAUCAAGAUGUACCAUAAGAAAGCAGUGAAAGGGGUAACAACGGGAGCAGACAGCCCUGACCUGAAGACCCAACCAGAGGUACUAACGGGGCAGACAGCCCUGACCUGAAGACCCAACCAGAGGUACUGACGGGGGCAGACAGCCCUGACCUGAAGACCCAACCAGAGGUACUGACGGGGGCAGACAGCCCUGACCUGAAGACCCAACCAGAGGUACUAACGAGGCAGACAGCCCUGACCUGAAGACCCAACCAGAGGUACUAACGGGGCAG